UACGUAGGGUGCAAGCGUUGUCCGGAAUUAUUGGGCGUAAAGAGCGUGUAGGCGGCCCGAUAAGUCCGCUGUGAAAGUCCAGGGCUCAACCCUGGGAUGCCGGUGGAUACUGUCGGGCUCGAGUCCGGAAGAGGAGUGUGGAAUUCCCGGUGUAGCGGUGAAAUGCGCAGAUAUCGGGAGGAACACCUAUGGCGAAGGCAGCUCUCUGGGACGGUACUGACGCUGAGACGCGAAAGCGUGGGGAGCGAACAGG
rnacentral:rRNA from 1 species